UACGGGGGGGGCAAGCGUUGUUCGGAUUUAUUGGGUUUAAAGGGUGCGUAGGCGGUCCUAUAAGUCAGUGCUGAAAUAUCCCGGCUUAACCGGGAGGGUGGCAUUGAUACUGCAGGACUUGAGUAAAGUUGAGGUUGGCGGAAUUGACGGUGUAGCGGUGAAAUGCUUAGAUAUCGUCAAGAACACCUAUUGCGAAGGCAGCUAACUAAGCUUUAACUGACGCUGAGGCACGAAAGUGUGGGGAUCAAACAGG
rnacentral:rRNA from 1 species